GAGACAAGUACCUGUGUUAGGAAAUUUGUUCUCCACCGACUGUUGUAUCAUGCUGGGUGUAACUGCAAACUGGAAAUUCUGCAUUUCGUAUAUCAAGAAACACCUUCUGCUCCUACAAUCUCAAGCACAGCAACUCUACUUUAUCUUAACACUGGGAAACGUUUUGUAUAACUGUGUCUGUACUCCUUAACGGUCACAACCACACUUUCCAUACAUCAAUUUUCUGAUAAUAUUUUAAGUAAUUGUUUCUUUAUAUAAAUACUAAGAAAUAUGUAGCUUUCUGUUUUCAAUUUCAAAAUUUCAUCAGUUUUUGGGGUUUUGGAAGAGAGGAAGAAUGGCGGUAGGAGAGUAGUUGACAACACUCAACCAAUGGUUGGUUAUGCUUUGUCACUAAUCUCUGUGCAUUUUGACUAAUCCAAUAGGCAUACAUCAAUGAUGUUCAAACAGAAAGCACAUUUCAGUGUUGUCUUUCUGAUUUUCUUAUUUACUUUAAUAUGCAGAGUUUAUUUACUAAUGGCUUCCUGUAUAUGCUGCAAAUUUACAAUUUCUUUCACUCAUUAGUUGAGGAAAUACAAAAGGGCAAAGCAAUGAAGGACCAAUUCUUUAUAGUUUAAUGGCAGAAACUUCAUUCAGGCACUUAUAUUGUAACAAGAAGAAAUUUUUGCCUGAUGAAACAAGUGCUGAAUCUUCUGAGUGCUUCAGUAUCCAAUGGUCAUGGGAUCAUGAACUGUUAAAGGAAGGAAUUCGAACAUAAUGAUAUUUACCUUCUCUGAUUAUGGCUGAAGCUAUUAUUUCCGGUGUCUUGGAGCAGCUGAUUUCAAUCAUUGCUGAAGCGAUACAACAGGAGGUGAGGCUAGUUGUUGGUGUUGACAAAGAAGCUAAAAAGCUCAGGAGCAAUAUUGAAGCUAUUCAAGCUGUGCUUCUUAAUGCAGAGGAAAGACAAGUGAAGGAGAGAAAUGUCAGACGUUGGUUAGGUCGGCUCAAGGACACUUCUUAUGACAUUAAAGAUGUGAUGGAUGAGUGGAACCAUGCUUUGUUAAAACAGAGCAUUGACGGGGUUGAAAAUGCCCUUGUUCCUAAUAAAGAGUUGAUUUACUAGUUCAAUGGCUUCCUAUUUAUGCUGGGAAUUUACAAUUUCUGUCACUCAUCAAAAGAGAAUAUACUCAAGGGAAAAACAGUAAAGGACCAUUUUUUAUAGUUCAAGGGCAGAAUCUUCAUUGAGGCACUUCUAGCAAGAAGAAACUUUUGCCUAAUGAAACAAGUGCUGAGUCUUCUGGUUUUCACAUUUCCUUGUGUGGUUCAGCAUCAAAUGAUCAUGGAAUGAUGAAUCGAUAGAGAGAAGGAAUUCGAAUAUAACGGAACAGGCAUGCUAAAUUUGGAAAUCUAAUCAAUGAAAGUGGUGACUAGUACCCAGAUAUAAAGUAGUUUAUUUGGUUGAGAGAGAUCAUAGUUUUCAUGUAUUUUCAGUUGUUCAGUUGGGAUAGAAUCUUAUAGGGUAUUGGUUUUACAUAUCUUUUGAAAGACUUUUCUGUUAAUAUGUAUUUGGUCUUAGAGGCCUGUAAAAUUUUUGUUUCUUUGUGUGACAAAAGCCUUCUUAUACAAGUAAAUAUAGUCGAGGAAUUCUUAGUUAUAGCAUUUGCCUGCAAAUAUGUAAAUAUUGGAAUAUAUUUUCCAUCUUCCUUUUCUUAA